rnacentral:rRNA from 1 species
AGCGAACGCUGGCGGCAGGCUUAACACAUGCAAGUCGAGCGGGCGCCCGGGGGGAAUCCUGGCGGCACGCGGGAGUCGCGUGUGGAAUUCGUCGGUUUCGGCCGUAUUGUCUGGGGUAACGUAGGGAUACUUCCGCUAAUACCGCAUACGACCUACGGGUGAAUGCGGGGGACCGCACGGCCGCCUGCUUAGAUAUUUGGUGACGUCAGAUUAGCUAGUUGGUGGGGUAAAGACCCACCCAGGCGACGUUCGGUAGCUGGUCUGAGAGGAUGAUCAGCCAGACUGGCAGUGAGAAAGGGCCCAGACUCCUGCGGGAGGCAGCAGUGGGGAAUAUUAGACGAUGGGCGCGAGCCUGAUCCAGCCAUGCCGCGGGUGUGAAGAAGGCCUUAUGGUUGUAAAGCGAUGUUGUCCGGAAAGAUAUAAAGCGAGCUAAUACGUUAGGGGGAUGACGGUACCGGAAGAAUAAGCACCGGCUAACUUCGUG